rnacentral:rRNA from 1 species
UUUGAUGGCGACCGGCGCACGGGUGAGUAACACGUAUCCAACCUGCCGAUGACUCGGGGAUAGCCUUUCGAAAGAAAGAUUAAUACCCGAUGGCAUAGUUCUUCCGCAUGGUGGAACUAUUAAAGAAUUUCGGUCAUCGAUGGGGAUGCGUUCCAUUAGGUUGUUGGCGGGGUAACGGCCCACCGAGCCUUCGAUGGAUAGGGGUUCUGAGAGGAAGGUCCCCCACAUUGGAACUGAGACACGGUCCAAACUCCUACGGGAGGCAGCAUG